rnacentral:rRNA from 1 species
ACGAACGCUGGCGGCAUGCCUAACACCUGCAAGUCGAACGAGACCUUCGGGUCUAGUGGCGCACGGGUGCGUAACGCGUGGGAACCUGCCCUUAGGUUCGGAAUAAUUCCCCGAAAGGGGUGCUAAUACCGGAUAAUGUCUUCGGACCAAAGAUUUAUCGCCUUUGGAUGGGCCCGCGUUGGAUUAGCUAGUUGGUAGGGUAAAAGCCUACCAAGGCGACGAUCCAUAGCUGGUCUGAGAGGAUGAUCAGCCACACUGGGACUGAGACACGGCCCAGACUCCUACGGGAGGCAGCAGUGGGGAAUAUUGGACAAUGGGCGAAAGCCUGAUCCAGCAAUGCCGCGUGAGUGAUGAAGGCCUUAGGGUUGUAAAGCUCUUUUACCCGGGAUGAUAAUGACAGUACCGGGAGAAUAAGCUCCGGCUAACUCCGUG